UACGUAGGGUGCAAGCGUUGUCCGGAAUUAUUGGGCGUAAAGAGCGUGUAGGCGGCCAUGUAGGUCCGUUGUGAAAACUCGAGGCUCAACCUCGAGACGCCGAUGGAAACCAUGUGGCUAGAGUCCGGAAGAGGAGAGUGGAAUUCCUGGUGUAGCGGUGAAAUGCGCAGAUAUCAGGAAGAACACCCGUGGCUAAGGCGGCUCUCUAGUACGGUACUGACGCUGAGACGCGAAAGCGUGGGAGCGAACAGG
rnacentral:rRNA from 1 species